rnacentral:ncRNA from 1 species
UUAUUCCAGUAAGACUUAUAUAUGAUCAUAAUAUGGUUGAUCGUUUCUACCCAUGCCCGUAAAGUAUGGACUAUAGGUAAUAAAA